rnacentral:rRNA from 1 species
GAUGAACGCUGGCGGCGUGCCUAAUACAUGCAAGUCGAGCGAAUGGAUUAAGAGCUUGCUCUUAUGAAGUUAGCGGCGGACGGGUGAGUAACACGUGGGUAACCUGCCCAUAAGACUGGGAUAACUCCGGGAAACCGGGGCUAAUACCGGAUAACAUUUUGAACCGCAUGGUUCGAAAUUGAAAGGCGGCUUCGGCUGUCACUUAUGGAUGGACCCGCGUCGCAUUAGCUAGUUGGUGAGGUAACGGCGCACCAAGGCAACGAUGCGUAGCCGACCUGGGAGGGUGGUCGGCCACACGGGGACUGAGACACGGCCCAGACUCCUACGGGAGGCAGCAGUAGGGAAUCUUCCGCAAUGGACGAAAGUCUGACGGAGCAACGCCGCGUGAGUGAUGAAGGCUUUCGGGUCGUAAAACUCUGUUGUUAGGGAAGAACAAGUGCUAGUUGAAUAAGCUGGCACCUUGACGGUACCUAGCCAGAAAGCCACGGCUAACUACGUGCCAGCCGCCGCAGUAA